rnacentral:rRNA from 1 species
GACGAACCGUGCGAGCGUUGUUCGGAUUCACUGGGCUUAAAGGGCGCGUAGGCGGCUGCUCAAGUCGGGGGUGAAAUCCCACAGCUCAACUGUGGAAGUGCCUCCGAUACUGGGGGGCUGGAGGGAGGUAGGGGUGCGUGGAACUUCCGGUGGAGCGGUGAAAUGCGUAGAUAUCGGAAGGAACGCCGGUGGCGAAAGCGACGCACUGGACCUCUUCUGACGCUGAGGCGCGAAAGCCAGGGGAGCAAACGGG